rfam:Nicotiana sylvestris Nsyl_contig43156, whole genome shotgun sequence.
CAAAAGGUGCUACUUGGCACCACCUCAUUGGCCCUUUUUCAAAUACU